rnacentral:lncRNA from 1 species
AACAGAUUCUUCACCUUUAGCAACUGAUUCAUCAACGGAAUCAACACCAGUUACCACAGAAUCAACCACGGUAUCUCCACUAAAUGCUGAUGUUUAUUGUUCUACAUUACGAAAAAAAGGAUACUUUAGGGUGGAGAGUGAUUCAACUUGCAGACAGUGAGUCUAGAUUGUUGAUUACGCAUUAAAUAGGAAUUAUUCAUGUACGAAUUGUAAAAUUCCAGGUACGUGUACUGCUAUAAAUUGAGCUUGGAUUACCUGGGUUGGCUUUACUAUUGCAACACAAAUGAAUUUUAUAAUUCUGAUACACAAUCUUGUCAGACCGAACGGCCCGCGAGUUGCUGAAAAAGAU